GGUUGUGGCUCAGUGGUGGAGCACGUGCCUUGAAUGUGUGAGGUACAGGGUUCGAUCCUCAGCACCA
rnacentral:tRNA from 1 species